rnacentral:rRNA from 1 species
GACGAACCGAGCGAACGUUGUUCGGAAUCACUGGGCUUAAAGGGCGCGUAGGCGGGCUGCCGCGUCCGGGGUGAAAUCCCACGGCUCAACCGUGGAACUGCCCCGGAUACGGGCGGCCUCGAGGGGGGUAGGGGCAUGCGGAACUGUGAGUGGAGCGGUGAAAUGCGUUGAUAUUCACAGGAACUCCGGUGGCGAAGGCGGCGUGCUGGACCCCUCCUGACGCUGAGGCGCGAAAGCCAGGGGAGCAAACGGG